AAUAUUGCACAAUGGGCGAAAGCCUGAUGCAGCAACGCCGCGUGAGGGAUGACUGCCAUAGGGAUGUAAACCUCUUUUAGUAGGGAAAAAGCGAACGUGACGGUACCUGCAGAAAAAGCACCGGCUAACUACGUGCCAGCAGCCGCGGUAAUACGUAGGGUGCAAGCGUUGUCCGGAAUUAUUGGGCGUAAAGAGCUCGUAGGCGGCUUGUCGCGUCUGCUGUGAAAUCCCGAGGCUCAACCUCGGGCCUGCAGUGGGUACGGGUAGGCUAGAGUGCGGUAGGGGAGAUUGGAAUUCCUGGUGUAGCGGUGGAAUGCGCAGAUAUCAGGAGGAACACCGAUGGCGAAGGCAGAUCUCUGGGCCGCUACUGACGCUGAGGAGCGAAAGCAUGGGGAGCGAACA
rnacentral:rRNA from 1 species